GACGUAGGGGGCGAGCGUUGUUCGGAAUUACUGGGCGUAAAGCGUGCGUAGGCGGACUUAUAAGUCAAGGUUGAAAUAUCCGGGCUCAACUCGGGGCACGGCCUUGAUACUGCAAGUCUUGAGUCAAGUAGAGGGUAAUGGAAUUCCCGGUGUAGCGGUGAAAUGCGUAGAUAUCGAUCGGAACACCCAUGGCGAAGGCAGCUCGCUGGCCUGUAACUGACGCUGAGGCGCGAAAGCGUGGGGAGCAAACAGG
rnacentral:rRNA from 1 species